GACGAACGCUGGCGGCGUGCCUAAUACAUGCAAGUCGAGCGCAGGAAGUCGACGGAACCCUUCGGGGGGAAGUCGACGGAAUGAGCGGCGGACGGGUGAGUAACACGUAAAGAACCUACCCUCAGGUCUGGGAUAACCACGAGAAAUCGGGGCUAAUACCGGAUGGGUCAUCGGACCGCAUGGUCCGAGGAUGAAAGGCGCUCCGGCGUCGCCUGGGGACGGCUUUGAGGUGCAUUAGCUAGUUGGUGGGGUAAUGGCCCACCAAGGCGACGAUGCAUAGCCGACCUGAGAGGGUGAUCGGCCACACUGGGACUGAGACACGGCCCAGACUCCUACGGGAGGCAGCAGUAGGGAAUCUUCCACAAUGGACGAAAGUCUGAUGGAGCAACGCCGCGUGAACGAUGAAGGCCUUCGGGUCGUAAAGUUCUGUUGUAAGGGAAGAACAAGUGCCGCAGGCAAUGGCGGCACCUUGACGGUACCUUGCGAGAAAGCCACGGCUAACUACGUGCCAGCCGCCGCGGUAAUAC
rnacentral:rRNA from 1 species